CCUGGUAGCUCAGCUGGUAAAGCAUCUGCCUGCAAUGCAGGAGACCCUGGUUUGAUUCCUGGGUCAGGA
rnacentral:tRNA from 1 species